GACGAACGCUGGCGGCGUGCUUAACACAUGCAAGUCGAACGGAAAGGCCCUGCUUUUGUGGGGUGCUCGAGUGGCGAACGGGUGAGUAACACGUGAGUAACCUGCCCUUGACUUUGGGAUAACUUCAGGAAACUGGGGCUAAUACCGGAUAGGAGCUCCUGCUGCAUGGUGGGGGUUGGAAAGUUUCGGCGGUUGGGGAUGGACUCGCGGCUUAUCAGCUUGUUGGUGGGGUAGUGGCUUACCAAGGCUUUGACGGGUAGCCGGCCUAGAGGGUGACCGGCCACAUUGGGACUGAGAUACGGCCCAGACUCCUACGGGAGGCAGCAGUGGGGAAUAUUGCACAAUGGGCGGAAGCCUGAUGCAGCAACGCCGCGUGCGGGAUGACGGCCUUCGGGUUGUAAACCGCUUUCGCCUGUGACGAAGCGUGAGUGACGGUAAUGGGUAAAGAAGCACCGGCUAACUACGUG
rnacentral:rRNA from 1 species